AGCUAACGCGUUAAGUCGACCGCCUGGGGAGUACGGCCGCAAGGUUAAAACUCAAAUGAAUUGACGGGGGCCCGCACAAGCGGUGGAGCAUGUGGUUUAAUUCGAUGCAACGCGAAGAACCUUACCUACUCUUGACAUCCAGAGAACUUAGCAGAGAUGCUUUGGUGCCUUCGGGAACUCUGAGACAGGUGCUGCAUGGCUGUCGUCAGCUCGUGUUGUGAAAUGUUGGGUUAAGUCCCGCAACGAGCGCAACCCUUAUCCUUUGUUGCCAGCGGU
rnacentral:rRNA from 1 species